CCUCUGGUCUGUUGGGGCAGCGCUGCUGCCAUUCAAGGCCAACGAGUGGAGCUCCAAGCAGCCCCUGUUUAGAUGUGACCCACAACUGCUCUCUUCAGUGCACUGGACUCAGAGGACCCCCGAUGGGAAGAGUUCCUUGGCUCCUGUUCUCCUUUGCACAGCUUCCAACAUCUUUCACAUGGAGGUGAAGAAAGUCUCAGCAACCUGUUUCCUCAAGCUCAG
rnacentral:lncRNA from 1 species